CAAAACAGAAAAAAAACGACGCCACAUGACGAUUUUUUUCUUCGUAUUAUUUUUUUUUUUUUUUAAUUUUUUAUUUUUGAUUUUUAUU
rnacentral:ribozyme from 1 species